rnacentral:rRNA from 1 species
GACGUAGGGUCCGAGCGUUGUCCGGAGUUACUGGGCGUAAAGGGCGCGUAGGCGGUUCGUACAGUCAGACGUGAAAUUCCCGGGCUCAACCUGGGGGCUGCGUUUGAUACGUGCGGGCUUGAGUUCGGAAGAGGGUCGUGGAAUUCCCAGUGUAGAGGUGAAAUUCGUAGAUAUUCGCAAGAACACCAGUGGCGAAGGCGGCUCGCUGGCCCGGUACUGACGCUGAGGUGCGAAAGCGUGGGGAGCAAACAGG